CACUGUAUAAGUCAGGCUGGCCUUGCCCUCACUUUGUAGCCCAGGCUGGUCUUGAACUCACAACAUCCCCCUGCCUCAGCCUCCCGAGUGCUGGGAUUACAGGUGUGCGCCACCAUGCCUG
rnacentral:miRNA from 1 species